rnacentral:lncRNA from 1 species
CAUCCCUAGCGCUCUGUGUAGGUGGUGACGUGGGAGGGGGUGAAAUGCAACCUUUAUUUUCCUAACUGCCUGUCAUCCAAUUCCCCGUUUCCCUCUGACUUGCAUGAGUGAUGAGGUCAUCCCGGCGCAGAAAAAUCCAACUCCUAUUUUUCAGACCCAAUAAAGGCCGGCAUUGUGUGUCUGCGUAAACACAGGCCAGACGGGCAGGGCGGCGGGGACACGAGUGGCCCGCCCUCUGGCGGUCGCAGGAGACGAUGGUGCCCCGAGCUCCACCGCCCCGAACAACGGCAGGGAGGCGGAGAGGGUGCGUGCUAAAAUGUAUCCUUUUCCACUUAUUAUAAAAUCUUUGAGUUGGAAGAAAAUUUAGAGGACAUUUGUUCAAAUCUACCACUUAAGAUGGGCACUUCUGGAUUCAAACUGGUGUUCCAGUAUGCACCAUGUGGCUUGCCCACUGCUAGUCAUGGGAGAUGUUUCAAAAAUGGAGACAGGACCCCAGCCCCAAAGGACUCAUCAUGAUGCGGUGACAUACAUUGUGUUUUCAGGGCAGGAGUUAGGAGGGAGGAAUCCAGAGAUGGGGCCAGUGAAGAUGGCCCGGUUUAUGCCUUACCCACUGUUACAAGUUAAUGAAUCUAAUGAACCGCCAGGGGAAAUGAUUUGCCUGAGAAACCGAAGAGCCUGAAGGUGGGAACUCAUCUUGGAAGAAUCCAGCCUAUAAACCAGACCCAGAACCAACACCUUAGUUCUCAAUAAAUCAGAUGGGUCCUCAUCCCA